CAAAACAAACCUGAAGGAUGUGAUUGGCGCCGGGUUACAGCAGUUACUGGCGUCCCUGAGGGCCUCCAUCCUCGCUCGGGACUGUGCGGCUGCGGCAGCUAUUGUGUUCUUGGUGGACCGGUUCCUGUAUGGGCUCGACGUCUCUGGAAAACUUCUGCAGGUCGCCAAAGGUCUCCACAAGUUGCAGCCAGCCACGCCAAUUGCCCCGCAGGUGGUUAUUCGCCAAGCCCGAAUUUCCGUGAACUCAGGAAAACUUUUAAAAGCAGAGUAUAUUCUGAGCAGUCUAAUAAGCAACAAUGGAGCAACGGGUUCCUGGCUAUACAGAAAUGAAAGUGACAAGGUCCUGGUGCAGUCGGUCUGUAUACAGAUCAGAGGGCAGAUUCUGCAAAAGCUAGGUACCAUCAUCUAAAACUUGCAUUUCUCAAGGCUCAUUUACAAAGCCUGGCUGCAUGGUUUCACUGCGGAAUUUUCUUCUUUUAUCUGGCUAAAAUUGUUAAUUUCCACUUGCCUUAGUUUCCUCAUCGAAAAGAGAAUGAAAUUUAAGAUCCUAGGAGUGUCACAAAUAUUAAUAAAAUGUUUUUUUUUCUAGUGAGUUUUGUUAGAGAGGUUCACGGUUGUAUAUUGUAAUGUUAACUGUAGGGUUCCCAGUGUUAUUUCUAGCACCUGACUCAGUUCAGCAGGACUCCAUGUGAUAUGGUGACACCUUAUACUAUACCCACUGUGACACUGUUUUCAUUCAUUCCUUAAGGUAUUCAUGAAUUUUUCAAGUUUAUAGAAUGCUAAUAUACUUUAGAAUGCAAAAUAAGGGUUUGAGAAAUUUUAACAGGAGGUGGCAAUUAUUAUUUUUGUAAAAAACUGAGAUAACUACAUAUAUUACACAUAUUAUAUAUACAAAUGUAUAAUAAUUCUGUUUCCCAGUGAAAUGGAAAAAUUGUCUAUAUUACAACUGGAAAAACAUUGCUGUGCCAAUCUAAUCUAAGCCUGAGUUUUCCUAACAGAAUCUAAUGAGUCUUGUUUCUGUAUUCGUUUUCAAAGGUUUUCUCUCAUACAAGAGCACAGAUACUAGCUGUUCUUCCCCUGUCCCUCUCCCCGCCCCUCUUUUUUUUUUCAGGGAUGUGGUAUGAAGCAGCAGAGUUAAUAUGGGCCUCCAUUGUAGGAUAUUUGGCACUUCCUCAGCCGGAUAAAAAGGGCCUCUCCACAUCGCUAGGUAUACUGGCAGACAUCUUUGUUUCCAUGAGCAAGAACGAUUAUGAAAAGUUUAAAAACAAUCCACAAAUUAAUUUGAGCCUGCUGAAGGAGUUUGACCACCAUUUGCUGUCCGCUGCAGAAGCCUGCAAGCUGGCAGCUGCCUUCAGUGCCUACACGCCGCUCUUCGUGCUCACAGCUGUGAAUAUCCGUGGCACGUGUUUAUUGUCAUAUAGUAGUUCAAAUGACUGUCCUCCAGAAAUGAAAAACUUAUAUCUGUGUGAAGCCAAAGAGGCCUUUGAGAUUGGCCUCCUCACCAAGAGAGAUGAUGAGCCUGUUACUGGAAAACAGGAGCUUCACAGCUUUGUCAAAGCUGCUUUCGGUCUCACCACAGUGCACAGAAGGCUCAAUGGGGAGACAGGGACGGUCCAUGCAGCAAGUCAGCUUUGUAAGGAAGCAAUGGCGAAGCUGUACAACUUCAGCACUUCCUCCAGAAGUCAGGACAGAGAAGCUCUGUCUCAAGAAAUUAUGUCUGUGAUUGCCCAGGUGAAGGAACAUUUACAAGUUCAAAGCUUCUCAAAUGUAGAUGACAGAUCUUAUGUUCCAGAGAGUUUCAAGUGCAGGUUGGAUAAACUUAUCUUGCAUGGGCAAGGGGAUUUCCAAAAAAUCCUUGACACCUAUUCACAGCACCAUACUUCGGUGUGUGAAGUAUUUGAAAGUGAUUGUGGAAACAACAAAAAUGAACAGAAAGAUGCAAAAACAGGAGUCUGUAUCACUGCUCUAAAAACAGAAACAAAAAACAUAGAUACUGUGAGUACUACUCAAGAAAAGCCACACUGUCAAAGAGACACAGGAAUAGCUUCCUCCCUAAUGGGUAAGAAUGUUCAGAGGGAACUCAGAAGGGGAGGAAGGAGAAACUGGACCCAUUCUGAUGCAUUUCGAGUCUCCUUGGAUCAAGAUGUGGAGACUGAGACCGAGCCAUCGGAAGACAGCAAUGGUGAGGGAGCUGUUUUCAACAAGUCUCUGAGUGGCAGCCAGACUUCCAGUGCUUGGAGCAACUUAUCAGGGUUUAGUUCCUCUGCAAGCUGGGAGGAAGUGAAUUAUCACAUUGAUGACAGGUCAGCCAGAAAAGAGCCUGGCAAAGAACAUCUGGUGGACACUCAGUGUUCCACUGCCUUGUCUGAGGAGCUAGAGAAUGACAGGGAAGGCAGAGCUGUGCAUUCAUUGUGUUCACAGCUUCAUGGUCUCUCUCUUCAGGAACGCAGCAAUGACAAUUUGGAGCCUUCUCAAAAUCAGCUGCACCACCAGAUGCCCUUGACACCCUUCUCGCCUCAUAAUACCCCAGGCACUUUCUUGGCCCCUGGUGCAGGGCUUCUAGAAGGAGCUCCAGAAGGUAUCCAGGAAGUCAGAAAUAUGGGACCCAGAAAUACUUCUGCUCACUCCAGACCCUCAUAUCGUUCUGCUUCUUGGUCUUCUGAUUCUGGUAGGCCCAAGAAUAUGGGCACACAUCCUUCAGUCCAAAAAGAAGAAGCCUUUGAAAUAAUUGAUGAGUUUCCAGAAACCAACUGUGAUGCCAAAGACAGGCAGGGGGAAGAGCAGGGAGAAGAAAUUAGUGAAAGAGGCACAGGCCCUACAUUUAAAGCUAGUCCCACCUGGGUUGACCCAGAAGGAGAAACAGCAGAAAGCACCGAAGAUGCACCCUUAGACUUUCACAGGGUCCUGAACAAUUCUCUGGGAAACAUUUCCAUGCUGCCAUAUAGCUCCUUCACCCCUAAUUGGCCUGCUCAAAAUCCUGACUCCAGAAAAAGUGGUGGCCCAGUCACAGAGCAGGGCAUCGACCCUGAUGCCUCCACAGUGGAUGAGGAGGGGCAACUGCUCGACAGCACGGAUGUUCUCUGCACAAAUGGGCAUGGCUCUCAUAGACUGUGCACUCUGAGACAGUCGCCUGGUCAGAGGGCGGAGACCCCCAAUUCCUCUGUAAGCAGUAACAUCCUCUUCCCUGUCCUCAGCGAGGACUGCACUACCACAGAGGAAGGAAAUCAGCCUGGAAACAUGCUAAACUGCAGCCAGAACUCCAGUUCAUCCUCAGCGUGGUGGCUGAAAUCACCUGCAUUUUCCAGCGGUUCUUCUGAGGGGGACAGCCCUUGGUCCUAUCUGAAUUCCAGUGGGAGUUCUUGGGUUUCAUUGCCGGGAAAGACGAGGAAAGAGAUCCUUGAGGCUCGCACCUUGCAACCUGAUGACUUUGAAAAGCUGUUGGCAGGAGUGAGGCAUGAUUGGCUGUUUCAGAGGCUAGAGAAUACGGGGGUUUUUAAGCCCAGUCAACUCCACCGAGCACAUACUGCUCUUUUGUUAAAAUAUUCAAAAAAAUCUGAACUGUGGACAGCCCAGGAAACUGUUGUCUAUUUGGGGGACUACUUGACUGUAAAGAAAAAAGGCAGACAAAGAAAUGCUUUUUGGGUUCAUCAUCUUCAUCAAGAAGAAAUUCUGGGGAGGUAUGUUGGGAAAGACUAUAAGGAGCAGAAGGGGCUCUGGCACCACUUCACUGAUGUGGAGCGGCAGAUGACCGCACAGCACUAUGUGACAGAAUUUAACAAGAGACUCUAUGAACAAAACAUUCCCACCCAGAUAUUCUACAUCCCAUCCACAAUAUUACUGAUUUUAGAGGACAAGACAAUAAAGGGAUGUAUCAGUGUGGAGCCUUACAUACUGGGAGAAUUUGUAAAAUUGUCAAAUAACACGAAAGUGGUGAAAACAGAAUACAAAGCCACAGAAUAUGGCUUGGCUUAUGGCCAUUUUUCUUAUGAGUUUUCUAAUCAUAGAGAUGUUGUGGUCGAUUUACAAGGUUGGGUAACCGGUAAUGGAAAAGGACUCAUCUACCUCACAGAUCCCCAGAUUCACUCUGUUGAUCAGAAAGAUGUCACUACCAAUUUUGGAAAGAGAGGAAUUUUUUACUUCUUUAAUAACCAGCAUGUGGAAUGUAAUGAAAUCUGCCAUCGUCUUUCUUUGACUAGACCUUCAAUGGAGAAACCAUGUAAGUCAUAGGCUGUAUGGAUUGGUAAUGUGACAGACCUUAGUGAGGCUCUCAAAUAUCUGGUUCUCUCCUUCCAAGCACAUAGAAUAUGGCACAGUCUGGUCCUUUGGGGCUUGGGCAGGGCCGUGGCACAGGUUCUGGCCAAUGGUUUGUGAGAGGAAUUGAUCAGCAUCACUUUAAGUCCUGCAUUUAAUUGGCAGCACAAGAUCCUGCAGAGCCUCUUUCCCUCUGCCACAGCUACCAAGAAUGUGUCAGGAGACCGCUGCUUCUGGGCAUAAGUCCUGCAAGGAAAGCAACAUGGAAAACAGCCCCAACUCACCCAUGAGGGAUGCAAAGCACUGCUGAGAAAUGCAUGUGUUGUUUAAGCCAUUGAGAUUUUAGAGCUUUUUGUCACUAUCUGUCAAGACUGAUACUAGUGGGGCUUUUCCUAUUGAUUUGGGAGUUCUUUACAUAUUAAAAAAAUGUGAGCCUUUGUGAUACGAAUUCAAUUUGUUUUUCUGUUUUUUGACAUUUGACUUUGCAUAAAAGUUUACCUGUGCAUAAUUUUCUAUAUAGUUGAAUUCAUCAAUCUUUUAUAUGGCUUUUUUGUUAUGUAUAAUACUUAGAUCUUCCUUAUACUCUGAGUUUCUUUCUUUUUAAUUCUCCCGUAUUUCCUUCUAGUAUAAUUAAAUCUGUAAAAAAGUAAGAUGGAAGAGUGGUACAAUUUUCUUUAUCCAGUCUGUCCUUGAUGGGCAUUUAAGUAGACUAGAUAAAGAAAAUGUAGUACAUAUACACCACGGAACACUGUGUAUUAGUCCACUCUCACACUGCUUUGAAGAAACACCUGAGACUGGGUAAUUUAGAAAGAAAAGAGGUUUAAUUAACUCACAGUUCCACAUGGCUGGGGAGACCUCAGGAAACUUACAAUCAUGGCAGAAGGCACCUCUUCAUAGGGUAGCAGGAGAGAGAAUGAAUGCCAGCAGGGGAAAUGCCAGAUGCUUAUAAAACCAUCAGAUCUUGUGAGAAUUCUUUCACUAUCACGAGAACAGCAUGGGAAAAACUGCCUCAAUUACCUCCCACCAGGUCCCUCCCAUGACACAUGGGAAUUAUGGGAUUACAAUUCAAGAUGAGAUUUGGGUGGGGACACAAAGCCAAACCAUAUCACCAUGUAACCAUAAAAAAGAAUGAGAUCAUGUCCUUUGCAGGGACAUGGAUAGAGCUGGAGGCCAUUAUUUUUAGCAAACUAAUGCAAGAACAGAAAACUAAAUACCACUUGUUCUCACUUACAGGUGGGAGCUAAGUGAUGAGAGCAGGUGGACACAUAGAGGGAACAACACACACCAGGGCUUAUCAGAGGGUGGAGGGUGGGAGGAGGGAGAGGAUCAGGAAAAAUAACUAAUGGGUACUAGGCUGAAUACCUGGGUGAUGAAGUAAUUCACACAACAAACCCCCAUGACACAAACCUGCACAUGUACCCCUGAACUUAAAAUAAAAGUAAAAAAAAAUC
rnacentral:sRNA from 1 species